GAUGCAGGUGACGGCAGUGUAGAUGGUGGAGGAAGGAAAGCUCCUUUCUUUGAAGGAGGGCAUUUCAUUAGCUCUGGAAUGAAAAGCCUCAUCCUUGAGCAGAUGCGGCGGAGACACAGGAACUGAGAGAAGGGUAUGAUGUUGCUACUCGUAUCAGGGUGAGAAGAGGUACAAUCCAGGUAGCUGUGGGAAUCUAUGGGUUUAUAAAAGAUAUCAGUAGAUAAACUGUCUCCAGAGAUAGAGACAGAGAGAUCAAGAAAGGAGAGGGAGGCGUUGGGAAUGGACAAGGUAAAUUUAAGGGCAGGGAGGAAGUUGGAUGCAAAGUUGAUGAAGUUGACGAGCUCAGCAUGGGUGCAGGAAACAGCACCAAUGCAGUCAUUAACGUAGCAUAGGAAAAGUUGCGGGGGGGUAGAUACCAGUGCAGGCUUGGACUAUAGACUGUUCCAUGCAGCUGACAGAAAGGCAGGCUUACCGGGGACCCAUACGAGUGCCCAUGGCUAUACCUUUGAUUUGUGGGAAGUGGCAGAAGCCAAAGGAGAAAUUAUUGAGAGCGAGGACCUGUUCCACCAGACGGAGGGGAAUGGUGUGGAAAGGAACAGAUCGGGUCUGUUAUCUAGAAAGAAGUGGAGAGCUUUAGGGCCCUCCUGAUGGGGGAAAGAGGUCCAUAAGAACUAGACGUCCAUAGCGAAAAUGAGACGGGGAUCUUGAAGUCAUUGAAAAGAUCCAGAGUGUGUGAAGUGUCACAGGUGUAGGUAGGAAGGAACCGGAGGAUAAAACAAAGUUGAGAUAUUCAGAUACUUCACCGUUCCCCAAUUCCCAUGUCCCUCACUCACCUUAUCUCCCUACCUGUCCAUCACCUCCCCCUGGUGCUCCACCCGUUCCCUUUCUUCCAGGACAUAAACUCUCAGUUUGUUGAUGGAAGCACAAGGUGACGGCACGGAGAUGGGAUCCACUGCCACUGAUAUCGGUACACAAAGCCUGAGAAGGACACCACUUUAGCUGGGCCACAGCGGGUGUUUGGCGCAGGCAAACAUGAAGCAGGUUCUCUUGACGACCCUGACCUGGAUUAAUACUCUGACUCCGGUUCUUUGAGGGAAUGAGACUUGCUCUCAGGGCCUCAUGACCGGCCGCUUUCUGAUAUGUCAAGGACGCGGCCUGGAAGACUAGCAUGCCUUCAGGGUGCCAGACUGUCCUUGCUCUGGAGGUGGGCUCAUUCAAGGCCGGUGACCCUGUUUGAGGUGUCGUGGGAGAACACAGAACAUCAGGAGUUGUGUGUUGAGAGACCUGUGCCUUUCUGGGGCCGAUUCUCUGGGAGAAGAGCUCAGAGGAAGCAAAGCAACAGACUUUUAACACCAUAAAUCAGCAAGUUGUUUGUUAUGCCUCCCCUCUCGCUGUGAAAUGGGACACCUCUUUUUCCCUUAUUAGGGAAAGAGAGAGAGAGAGCCUGUGGUGCUUCCUUUCAUCGUCACCCACUUUGCCUCUCACUUCUAAGUAUUUAAACUUCUAUCCAUUGAAACAUGACAGCCGGGAGAUGUGAGAUUAUGUAUUGCAUUGAACUGCUGCUGCUAUAUUAACAAAUUUCACGUCACAUGUCGGUGAUAAUAAACCUGAUUCUGAUUCUGACAUCCUCAAAACAGAAGAGAAACCCCAAAGAAUGAAUGAGAGAAACAAGGUGAGAACACAAAAGCCUCUGCUCCCCUAACACGCACAACAACAGCAAGUAGCGUCAACCCUCCCCACUCCACUUCCCCCCACUUAUUCUAGCAGAAAGCAUGAACGAUCCCACCACCUACCAUGCAAGCAACAGCAAAGCCCCCAAAGAGAGACCAUGGUCUAUAGUCCAUUAAAAAGUGUUAAUUCCAAUAAUUCAACAUCCCUCAGGCUCUCUCUCUCUCUCUCAGAGACAGAUAUGACUCCUUCCACAGUGAAAGGGGAGACAGUCACUGUUUUGAAGUUAUAGUCAGACUGAGGCGUUGCUUUUUAUUUUGAGUUUCCUGACUUGAUAAUCGACAGCAAGCUCUCAGUAACCAUCGAGAGCGAGAGAGAUAGUGUUCACCCAAGUGCUGAGGACACUGACAGCCGCAAUGUUCCAGCUUCCCAUGACGCUUCAGAUCGCAACAUCAGCGAGCAUUUGCAUCCACGGGGCCAUGCGAGGUUGCAUCGUCAAGGUGCCCAGUGUCAGGCCACACCUGGACAUAUUGAAAAAGCGGCCACUCAGCGAGCUCCAAGAACGGGAAUACACCGCUAUGCAAAACCGUACAUAUAAAUUGUAAUGAAUUACUUAAAUGAACAAGAAUGCUUAAUUAACCAAUAUAUAUACAAGAUUGCUCAAAUAUUGUGUAAAUAUUAAAUACACAACAAUUACCCCUCAACCAUCUGGCUUUUGAACCAUUGGGAAUAACUUCACCCAACUUCACUCAUGCUGUCACUAUAUUUCUCCUACCACUUACAGACUGACCUUCAAGCACUCUUGAUCUCUUGUUCUUGAUAUUAUUUAUUGAUUGUUGUUUAUCUAUUUAUUAUCGAUUUGUUUUAGAGAUUGUACAGGUGUUGUCUUUUGUCAUAUUGGUUGUUUGUCCAUCCUGAUGGGUAUGGCCUUCCACGGAUUCUAUUGUAUUUUUUGUAUUUGGUGUGAGUGCCCACAAGAAAAUGAGAGAUUUGCAGUAUUAUAUAUGAUGACAUAAGUGUGCUUUGAUAAUAAAUUUAUUUUGAACUUUGAACUUCAGUGCAAUACCAGGCUGCGAGUAAAACGUUUAAUUCCAUCUCACUGAUUAAAUCUUCCAUUGUUUGCCUAUUAAUGUAAUGAGGGAGAUUGAAACAUGAAGGUCCAUGCAGAAGCACGGAGAGUGGAGAACGUUCGGGUGUUCCAGCACUCUGCAGUCUCCGAGAGGAUUCUGGCAGACAGAGACAGCGUGCGCCGAGUUCAUGGAAGGACGGCUGCAGGAUGGGGCGCAAGCUGUGGUUGGACUCCAUUUCACUGAUUAAAGCUUCCAAUGUUCGCUGAUUAAGCAACAAAGGAGAUUGAGGCAUUGGGGAAAGUGUUGAGGAUGAGUGCUGGCUGCUUGUCUUUUGAUCGCUCUGUACCAGAGAGGGAAAGGUCUGUCACUGUGCCCAGAGAGUGUUCCCUAGGCUUUCUGUGUUUUGAAUAUGAAUUUGGACUAUAGACUUUUUUUCCAGUCUUAUGGGGUUUUAUAUUCAGU